GCCUCCGUAGCUUAACUGGAUAGAGCAUCAGAUUUCGGCUCUGAGGGUUAGGGGUUCGAAUCCCUUCGGGGGUG
rnacentral:tRNA from 1 species